GCCUUCGUGGUGUAAUAACGGUUAGCAUACUCGACGCGUAUUCGAGAGAUCCAGGUUCGAGUCCUAGAGAGGGCA
rnacentral:tRNA from 1 species